rnacentral:rRNA from 1 species
AUGAUCCCAGCUUGCUGGGGGAUUAGUGGCGAACGGGUGAGUAACACGUGAGUAACCUGCCCUUGACUCUGGGAUAAGCCUGGGAAACUGGGUCUAAUACCGGAUACGACCAUCUGGCGCAUGUCAUGGUGGUGGAAAGCUUUUGUGGUUUUGGAUGGACUCGCGGCCUAUCAGCUUGUUGGUGGGGUAAUGGCCUACCAAGGCGACGACGGGUAGCCGGCCUGAGAGGGUGACCGGCCACACUGGGACUGAGACACGGCCCAGACUCCUACGGGAGGCAGCAGUGGGGAAUAUUGCACAAUGGGCGCAAGCCUGAUGCAGCGACGCCGCGUGAGGGAUGACGGCCUUCGGGUUGUAAACCUCUUUCAGUAGGGAAGAAGCGAAAGUGACGGUACCUGCAGAAGAAGCGCCGGCUAACUACGUGCCAGCAGCCGCGGUAAUACGUAGGGCGCAAGCGUUAUCCGGAAUUAUUGGGCGUAAAGAGCUCGUAGGCGGUUUGUCGCGUCUGCUGUGAAAGACCGGGGCUCAACUCCGGUUCUGCAGUGGGUACGGGCAGACUAGAGUGCAGUAGGGGAGACUGGAAUUCCUGGUGUAGCGGUGAAAUGCGCAGAUAUCAGGAGGAACACCGAUGGCGAAGGCAGGUCUCUGGGCUGUAACUGACGCUGAGGAGCGAAAGCAUGGGGAGCGAACAGGAUUAGAUACCCUGGUAGUCCAUGCCGUAAACGUUGGGCACUAGGUGUGGGGGACAUUCCACGUUUUCCGCGCCGUAGCUAACGCAUUAAGUGCCCCGCCUGGGGAGUACGGCCGCAAGGCUAAAACUCAAAGGAAUUGACGGGGGCCCGCACAAGCGGCGGAGCAUGCGGAUUAAUUCGAUGCAACGCGAA